GCUGCCAAGACGGCACAGACAUGCCUGCGGACA
rnacentral:tRNA from 1 species